ACUCAAAUGAAUUGACGGGGACUCGCACAAGCGGUGGAUGAUGUGGAUUAAUUCGAUGCAACGCGAAAAACCUUACCUACCCUUGACAUGGCCCAAAGCCUACAGAGAUGUGGGUGUGCUCGCAAGAGAAUGGGUACACAGGUGCUGCAUGGCUGUCGUCAGCUCGUGUCGUGAGAUGUUGGGUUAAGUCCCGCAACGAGCGCAACCCUUGUCGCUAAUUGCUAACAUUAAGUUGAGCACUUUAGUGAGACUGCCGGUGACAAACCGGAGGAAGGUGGGGAUGACGUCAAGUCCUCAUGGCCCUUAUGGGUAGGGCUUCACACGUCAUACAAUGGUGCAUACAGAGGGUUGCGAACUCGUGAGGGGGAGCUAAUCUCAGAAAGUGCAUCGUAGUCCGGAUUGAAGUCUGCAACUCGACUUCAUGAAGUUGGAAUCGCUAGUAAUCGCGGAUCAGCAUGUCGCGGUGAAUACGUUCUCGGGUCUUGUACACACCGCCCGU
rnacentral:rRNA from 1 species